AUUGAACGCUGGCGGCAGGCCUAACACAUGCAAGUCGAGCGGAGCGGCGGACGGGUGAGUAAUGCCUAGGAAUCUGCCUGGUCGCGGGGGAUAACGUCCGGAAACGGGCGCUAAUACCGCAUACUAUUGGAUCAGCCUAGGUCGGAUUAGCUAGUUGGUGGGGUAAAGGCCUACCAAGGCGACGAUCCGUAACUGGUCUGAGAGGAUGAUCAGUCACACUGGAACUGAGACACGGUCCAGACUCCUACGGGAGGCAGCAGUGGGGAAUCUUGCGCAAUGGGCGAAAGCCUGACGGAGCAACGCCGCGUGAGUGAUGAAGGGCUUCGGGUCGUAAAGCACUGUUAUUAGGGAAGCGGUACCUAAACAGAAAGCCACGGCUAACUUCGUGCCAGCAGCCGCGGUAAUUC
rnacentral:rRNA from 1 species